UGAUGGUUCCUAAUACUUCACAUUAGAAGAACUCAAAUUUGAUGACCAGUUUGAGAAACACCAGUAUAACCAGAUUACAAGAAAGAGCAAGUCAAAAGGAUGAUCAUGAAUAUAACAACUUCGAGGAAACAUUUAAUCAAAAACCAAAGCUUUUUAAACAACUGAGAGUUUUUAUAAGAAAAAGACCUCAUACAGUAGUCCCCACUUAUUCAUGGGGGAUACAUUUCAAGAUCCCCAGAGAAUGCCUGAAAUCACUGAUGUACCAAACCCUAACCAGGUUCUUAGUAUGAGCUACUAAAUGACAAAUGGUGUUCCUCCCACUCCUGAAGAGGAUGCAGUGUUCAAGAUGCCAUCUUAGAAGCAGAGACUGGGCCCUUUCCAGACACCAAAACCUGCCAUCACCUUGGACUUCUCAGCCUCUAGAACUGUGAAGAAGCACUAAUUUGUUCUUACUGGAACUGGCAACUACCUUGGAGAGGGAAUUUUGCUCUGUUGCCCAGGCUGGAAUGCAGUGGUGCAAUCUCAGCUCACUGCAACCUCCCUUCUCCUGGGUUCAGACAAUUCUCCUGUAUCAGCCUCCUGAGUAGCUGGGAUUACAGGCGCACACCAUUACGCCCAUUUCUAGGAAGAAAAUAAAUAGAGUGCCACAAAGUAAAGAACAGAUAUGCAAACCUGGAUGGCAGGGUCAUGGAAGGCUCUUCAAGGAGGUAAUACUUAAGCAGUUCGGAUAUAUAUUUAAAGGCCUCAGAUUUUUCAGCUCCAGAGACGCUGCCAAUCAUUGAUCUUCACCAAACUUCAGUAGAUUCCUCAUCCAACCUUUUCACAGACCUUCCUCCCAAAGGUAAAUUGAAGGCCAGAGACAGGAAUUUGCCUAAAUCACAGAGUCUCACAUUGUCAUCCAGUCUGGAGUGCAAUGGCAUGACCUCAGCUCACUGCAGCCUCCGUCUCCUGGGUUCAAGCAAUUCUCCUGCCUCACCCUCUCUAGUAGCUGGGAUUACAGAGCAUCAAAAUAUUAUUUUUGUUUAUGUGGCCCCAGGACAGAUAAAACUUGUACUGGUGCAAAAAUACAUCCCAGUCAUAACCAUUAGUCAUGAAGUCUACAGUUCAUUUGAUGCAAUACUUAUUGAUCAUCUAUAAUUUGUGAAAGUGUUGUCAGGUUAUCAAUCUAUAGUUCUACCACAAAUAUUUAAAUGCAGUACUAGAGUAUUAUUUAAUGGAAUUCUGUCAUAAACCAACGCAUCCCUCCUG
rnacentral:sRNA from 1 species